AGCGAACGCUGGCGGCAGGCCUAACACAUGCAAGUCGAACGGCCCUUCGGAGCAGUGGCGGACGGGUGAGUAACGCGUGGGAACGUGCCCUUUGGUUCGGAACAACACAGGGAAACUUGUGCUAAUACCGGAUGAGCCCUUUGGGGGAAAGAUUUAUCGCCAUUGGAGCGGCCCGCGUUGGAUUAGGUAGUUGGUGGGGUAAAGGCCCACCAUGCCGACGAUCCAUAGCUGGUCUGAGAGGAUGAUCAGCCACACUGGGACUGAGACACGGCCCAGACUCCUACGGGAGGCAGAAGUGGGGAAUCUUGCGCAAUGGGCGAAAGCCUGACGCAGCCAUGCCGCGUGAAUGAUGAAGGUCUUAGGAUUGUAAAAUUCUUUCACCGGGGAAGAUAAUGACGGUACCCGGAGAAGAAGCCCCGGCUAACUUCGUGCCAGCCGCCGCAGUAAAAC
rnacentral:rRNA from 1 species